AUUUAAAUAGCUUAUUUAAAGUGUAAUAUUGAAGAUAUUAAGAAAAUUAAAAUUAAUUUUUAAAUA
rnacentral:tRNA from 1 species